CUCAAUCCACUGAUAAUAUAAACCAAUCACCAAGUGAACUCAUCAAGUAUUUCCAUUUUCCUUCUCUUUGCAAACCCUAAUUCUAUAUACCAGAUGCCUGAACAGAAAAAUUUGAUAUCAGAUUACAAACCUAAAUAUUUACUUGAUGCUUAGGAUAUUAGAAUAACCUCCUCUUCGGAUUUAAGUCAGUCUAAGACACCUACUAUUGGAACUUUCUGAGGAAUUGGACAA
rnacentral:lncRNA from 1 species